rnacentral:rRNA from 1 species
UACGUAGGGUGCGAGCGUUGCCCGGAUUUAUUGGGCGUAAAGGGCGCGUAGGCGGCUCUGCACGUCCGUUGUGAAAUCGCCCGGCUCAACUGGGCGGGGUCAGCGGAUACGGCGGAGCUUGAGCAAGCUAGGGGGCAAUGGAAUUCCCGGUGUAGUGGUGGAAUGCGUAGAUAUCGGGAGGAACACCAGUGGCGAAGGCGGCCAUCUGGACGACGAUUGACGCUGAGACGCGAAAGCGUGGGUAGCAAACAGG